GUAGUAUUCCCUCCGUCCCAAAAUUCUUGUCUUACAUUUGUUUAGAUAUGGAUGUAUCUAACACUAAAAUGUAACUAGAUACAUCCGUAUUUAGACAAAUUUAAGACAAGAAUUUUGGGACGGAGGGAGUACAAA
rfam:Triticum aestivum genome assembly, contig: Triticum_aestivum_CS42_TGACv1_scaffold_505029_6BL